GGGGUAGCACCGGUUUCGAUUGCGGGUGCGCGGUGAGGUAAGCACGUCGAGGAACGAGUGGCCUCGUUAAAACAUUCGGCCUAAAUUUAAAUGCAGACAAUGCAAAUUACAAUGCGAACGCUCAGUUCGCAUAUGCUGCUUAAUUAAAUAAGCGCUCGUCCGCACCUUAUUCCUGCCGUAAGGCAGCGGGCGUCAAUUGAGGCAGGGGACGGCCGUCCCGAUGUGAAGUCGGCGGGGCGGCGGCAUUUCGAUUUCUGCGAAUAACUUACUUCGGUCGCAAAGAAGGUUGUUUUAAGUCAAAUGCGGCAUAAACGUGUAGAAAGCCUUUCGGCAAUCUCGUAAGACGCGAGUUCAACUCUCGCCUACUCCACCA
rnacentral:tmRNA from 1 species